CCCAACUUGUUUAAAAUUAAUAUAACUUGUGUACACUUGCCUGAUUGCAAUUUAUUUUCCAAAAUAGAUUUUACUGCUCAAGACAUAGAAUGACUAACAACAACCACAAUUUGUAUGUUAUCAGUAUGCAAUCAUCUCAGUGAUCUGUUAUGAAACAUACCAUGUAAUAGAUACUGGACCACCACACCGUCACCACAAAACCUCAAGGAGCAGUUGAUUUCAUCACAUGGAAGGAAUAAGGUGGCAAGAGCUAGG
rnacentral:lncRNA from 1 species